AGAGUUUGAUCAUGGCUCAGAUUGAACGCUGGCGGCAUGCCUUACACAUGCAAGUCGAACGGCAGCGCGGGGGCAACCCUGGCGGCGAGUGGCGAACGGGUGAGUAACAUAUCGGAACGUGCCUUGGAGUGGGGGAUAACUAGUCGAAAGACUAGCUAAUACCGCAUACGAUCUAUGGAUGAAAGUGGGGGAUCGCAAGACCUCAUGCUCUUAGAGCGGCCGAUAUCUGAUUAGCUAGUUGGUAGGGUAAAAGCCUACCAAGGCGACGAUCAGUAGCUGGUUUUAGAGAACGACCAGCCACACUGGGACUGAGACACGGCCCAGACUCCUACGGGAGGCAGCAGUGGGGAAUCUUGGACAAUGGGGGCAACCCUGAUCCAGCAAUGCCGCGUGUGUGAAGAAGGCCUUCGGGUUGUAAAGCACUUUUGUCCGGAAAGAAAUCGCCUUGGUUAAUACCUGGGGUGGAUGACGGUACUGGAAGAAUAAGCACCGGCUAACUACGUGCCAGCAGCCGCGGUAAUACGUAGGGUGCGAGCGUUAAUCGGAAUUACUGGGCGUAAAGCGUGCGCAGGCGGUUGUGCAAGACAGAUGUGAAAUCCCCGGGCUCAACCUGGGAAUGGCAUUUGUGACUGCACGGCUAGAGUGUGUCAGAGGGGGGUAGAAUUCCACGUGUAGCAGUGAAAUGCGUAGAUAUGUGGAGGAACACCGAUGGCGAAGGCAGCCCCCUGGGAUAACACUGACGCUCAUGCACGAAAGCGUGGGGAGCAAACAGGAUUAGAUACCCCUGUAGUCC
rnacentral:rRNA from 1 species